GUGCUGACUUGGGGAACAACAGUCAAGGAAGCAAGACCAGCAAGUGCGAAGAGCCUCAGCCCUGACUGACUGAGAUGCACUCCUCAUGUUUACAGCCUGGAGAAACUAACUCUUGCAUGUAUGUACCAACAGGGCUUGGUCCCAGGAUGUUCCUUCCAUAGCCCCAAAAUGUUCAACCAUCGGUGUUUCAAAGGGGAUCACUAACUCCAGGAAGCAAAAUUAGGAGUCCGGGAUUUCACAGCAAGGUGACAUUAUUUGAGGGGCAGGAGGGGAGGGCGGGGAGCAGGUUUCUUGCCUCUCACCCAGCCUGGUGAAAAUCUCGCUCGGAACAAUCCGUCUUCUGUGAAGCACUCCCUACAGAAAGUUGUGGAAAUAAAUCUCUCCUCUCACCACUGGGGCUGGAGUCAAACCGAGCAGAGCACAGAGGAUUUGGGAGGAUUGACACUCACAGGAAGAAGGGAAAGUGGCUUGAAAGCCCGAUGGGUCGAGGGAGGUGCCCUGAACACAACUCCAUGUGGUGUCUGCCCGGUAGCACCCAAGUGUGUGAGCGCAGGCGCAAAGGGUUACGGAGGCACCCUGAAUAACUCUCCUGCUCUUGCCUCUCCUAGAACCGUGAAAUGGACACGGGGCUCUGCUUGUCUUAAGGUCCUGG